GCCGCCUUGGCCCCCUCACUGUCUGCGUCGCCGCCCCGGCCGUCGGCCUCUCCUGGGCGGAGAGCAGAAGCCCAGACGGAAGCCGCGUCCGAGAAUUCCUUUCGUUUUGCAGAAAUCCCUCUGGUGAAGCCCCGCACCCGGCCGCUCUGCGACCCCCGGGUACCCGAAAGGGACGGGAUGAUGGGCACAUCCGGACCCCUCUGGGGCGGACCGGCGCUGAGCCCGGUGCUUUCAGCCAAGACGUUUAUGUCAGAAGAAGGCGUUUAAAUCCGUUUUUUGGGAAACUUUUUUGUUUUGUUAUUUGGGCCUUUCAGUUGGGAGGAUUUGGCUGAAAUGUCCUGCAGCCUUGGUCUCCCUUAUUCCUUGCACAGCGUAGAGGAGAAAUCUUUUUCGAGUUUAGUUUUUCUUCAAGAUUGAACAACACAGAUCCGAACGCGUGCCCGCCCGGCUGCUGCUUCACGGGGAAAUCUGCAGCAGGUCGCUCGGAGGGGGAGCUGGUACUCCCUGGGAGGAAGGAGAUCCUGCAGCACCGGCGGGGAGGGCAGGGCCCAGGGAGUGAGGACCCGCAGAGCCAGAGAGGCCACUCCAGACCAACUUCAUGUGCUUAAUGUAACUCUGAGCCCUCUUGAAUUUUUAACUUCGCUUCCCUUAAUUAAUCUGCCCAGGGCCUGUGUAUAAAUGGCUGUCUACAGCUGCUGCAAAUUGAUUUAUCUCCUGAUAAAGGUUGGGUUGCUGACCAAAGCAUUCUUUCUACCUUCUGUGUGAACUGAAAUGUGUUUUACAGGAUUUUUUACCCCUCCUAGUCUCCUUUUAAACAUCUGGACCAUUUUUAAGUGCACUCAGUGGCUUUUAUUAUCAUUCCCCUCGUUUGCAUAGACCGGGAGUGGAACUGGGUCUGUGCCCAGUGAGUCCACACUCCCUAGAAUACAAAUUGACCAGCUUCUCUGUGAUAAACGGUUUGUUAGUGUUGGGGCCUCCUUUAGAGUUUAUUGCAGCGUUUUGCCAUCACCAUGUGAGGCUUCUGUUGUGUCCAGUUUCUCCUGUCACACAGUUCCUUAGAAAAAAUCAACAAAUACCAUCAUUGUUUCUUAAAACAGCAUGGUCCCAAUUUAGCUUUGAUAUGUACAAACAGAAGCAAAUUCAUAAUUCUGUGCAUUUCCUCCUUGUUUAUCCUUAUAGUCUACUUUCAACAUUAUGGUGGCUGUCAGAUAAUAGAAAUAGGGUGCUAUGAUUUAAUUUUGUUUUAUUCUUUAGAAUAAUAAAAUACCCAGUAUUUAUCAGAGAAUCUUUGAGCCAGGCUGUUUUGUUUUUUUUUUUUUUACAGCAAGGAUGGAUGUAGAAGAAGUUGAAAUUUAUCCUUUUCUGUGUUAGAUGUAGCAUUUGACAUCCAUUAGUUUAUUUUUUCAAAAGACAGAAUUCCAACAAAAUAACCACAGAAUCAGUCUUGCACACAAAAAUUGACUUUGAGAUUAUUCUGAGAAUUACUUUAUAUUAAAUAUCUUUGUUUAAACAUUGAUAAUUUAAUUACAAACCAUUUAUACAGCAGUCACCUUAUUUGCAAAGCUAAAUAUUGUGUGGGAGAAUUUCAGAAUGUAGCAUCUCCAGUGUCCAGAUCUCCAUAGUAAAAGCAGUGGAGAAAACUAUUUUUUCUGUAAUGCUUGAACAACUCAAAGCAGACCAGAAGUCUUUGAAAUGAUAUUCUUCUUUGUAGCCUAAGUCUCUUUGACCCACUAAUACCUGGUAAUAAUUUGACUUUAAAAUGAUCUUUUAAAGGACAUUCUUAAUAAGUCUUGGACCUGCAGAACAAUACAAACCUCACUAUUAAAUUGCAAGUUUCUGGAAACAGUAGGACAGUUAAUGUUUCAGUUACAGGGCUGCAGUUUUUUUUAAUACUUUCACAAUUUUUCUUUUCUGAGAGAAGCAAAGUAUUGCUCUUGCUGUUAGUAUUUGAUAUGAUGAGCUCUCCCAUUGAAGUGUUAGUCUAAAUAUUUUCAGAUGAAAGAACACUUCAUAAAUUGCAAAGAAAUACACAAAGAUAAGGUGCUAUUAUAAUUUAUGUUAUUGUAAAAUUGAAGCUUAGCUAAUCUUUUCUCCCCCCUAUUUUUUAAACAUUGAAAAGGGAUCACCAGAAAGAAAUGCUUCCAAUAGGAAUGCUGGUCAGUGGUUGUCAGUUUAGGACAUUCUUCACUGUCAAAUCCUGUUUCUCACUUCUUUGAUAUGAACAUCAGCUGACAGGCACUGAAUGCAAAGCCUUCUUCAUUGAGGUUUUAUACAGGCAACAUAGCCCUUCAUAGCAAAGGAGUCUGAAAAAUUGGCACCUGCAGGAUUUGCAUGUGAAAAAAACCAAGUCAGUUGCAUUUUGCUGGAGUCUAUUACUGUAAGUUAUGUAAGUUCAGUGAGAAAAAGGGUAUUUAUUUGUUGCAGUUUGGACAUUUAGAGGUUCUUUGUUUUAUGGACAUCUUAUUCAUCAUAUAGUGAUGCACAGACUGUUGAUAGCAGAAGCAGUGAGAACUGAGCUCUGACUUUAUAGAAGUUAUUUAUUAUGGAAUGGAGUUGUUUUUAACCAUAUGUUUGUAGAGUGCACUUAGAUUCAUAGUUAAUUUUUAAAAUGUGACUGAAAAAAUGAACUCAUUGAACUUUGAGAAUAAUCAGAAGUUAAAUACAUAAAAUUAGGUUAACACAAACAUCCUUUGAAAACAAUCUGGGAUUUUAAGACUUACAUACUUCAGUAACAACUCAGUGUAUAAGAAAAACAUUUAAACCUCUUGUAUUUAUAAACUUGAGAAAAAUGUUAAGUUUCCCCCAGUUUUACUUGUUAAAUUAUGUUUGUCACCUAAAUACCCUUUGAAAAAUUAUGGUUGACCCUAUUUAUGCAAGCUAACCAACAAAUGUUAAACCAACUAAAAACCUUUGUGACCCAUUAGUGGGGACAUUUACCCAGGGUAAGCUACUUACUAUUAUCUAACGAGACACCUUCCAACUUCACUCUUUUACAGCCAUUAAUAUAAGAGUUCCUAAAUAAUGUUUAAAGAACAGUGAACAUUUUAUUAAAGCAAACAUUAGUUCAGUUUAAUGGAGGUAAUUGUAAGUGAUAAGACAGAGCAGGUUAUCUCCGUGUUGUUUAAACAGAAGGAGCUACUUUGCACCAUUUCCAGUAGCCAUCUGUAGAAGAGAAGGGUUUGCACCUGUCUGUCCACACUAAUUAUAGAUUAGGGCCAAAGAAAUGAAAUUCGAGGAGGUUUUCAGCUAAUGAAAUCCAUACUGAUUUUAUUGUAAAUGUGUUUUAUGUAAAGAGGAUGAUGGUUGAGUUAUGAGUGAAUAAAUCACUAUGUAGCUGCUAGGUACUUGGUUUUGAAGCACAAUACUGCUGCAUUAACCUUUGAUAUUAAAGAAAAAUGACAAACAACUUAGACAUGGAUGCUAGCCUUUGUUUGGCAUCCAUGCUACAAUUUAGUGAGCAGCAGUGAAGUUCAGUGUGCGAUUUAGAAAUGUGCUAGAAAGCAGCUUAAACAGUAAGAAUAUUUUGAUACUCAAAUUCAGAUGAAGUAGAAGGUAGGCGCUGUUUUAACUUAUGCAUGUAAAACAUCAGAAAAUUAGAAAGCUGUUUCCUUUUUUCUGCAUUUCAGCUUCAUAUACAUGAGAAAUUAAAGCAAAAUGAGUGAGGAAUGCAUUCUGCAAUAAAAGGUCACAUGAAUGUCUACCACAUCUGUUUAUAGUAAUUAUGAACAUAAUUAACAUAAGAAUUACAAAUGAAAUAAUGACAAGCUGAGCAAUGAGGUAUUAUGCCAUAAUGGUCAUAUGUUGGAAUUCUCACAUUAUAGCACACUAGAAUUCACAUACUCAAAGAAAGAAAGAAAAUGCUAGAUUUAUAUCUGAAUUAAUGCUUCAAAACUUAUCUGCCUGGGGCAGAUGGACUUCUUGCUUUUGUUGGAUGGUAACCUAUUAUUAAGAAAAGAAAUAGUUCAAAUUAAGAUUUCUCAUCUCUAGCCUGGACUUUUAAGACAGCUGUGAUUCUAGACACCAGUUUCUAUUAUACACUUAUUCUGUGAUUGUACCUCUUGCUUAUUGUAUUGCUUUUUUGUUUUUAAUCGAAAGCUUUGAAGCAAAAUGUUUGCUUUGGAAGAGUGUCAUGGAUUUGUCCCAUUUGAGAAUUGGUUAAUCUUUUCUAUAACUGUGAGCCAAAAGUCAAUGAACAAACAAGGUAGUGGAAAUACUAUACUUUACACAGUAAGCGCAUUGGCAGAUUAGCUUUUGCUCUUUUCUUUAUGUCUAGUGUUUGGAUGCCUUAUAAAGGAAAAAUUGUUCUGGGUUUGAAAGCAGUGCGGUACUAUGGAUUUUUUUUUAAAGUAGCAUUUCUGAAAAGAACAUGUAAUGGAAAAAUCAGUGGGCAUUUGUGAGUUGCAUUUUUCCCCCUACAGUUCCAUUGGAUUUUGGGGUGUUCGUAUGUAGUCUGUGCCCAAAGUGAUCUAACUACAAUGCAGUAAAGGGGGAUGGUAGUUGUGUCUGCUUCUGGUUACAGAGUGCAGCUUUCUAUAACAGCGAGAGAAAAGGUGAAAGGGGACAUUUUAUGAGAACCAAAAUGAUACUCUAGAAAUGUUAUUAAAUUUAAAACACGUAGGAAUGACAGAUUUUCGUCCAUUUAGAGCUCACUUGAUUUUGUAAUGCAGCCUGACAAGUGGUUUACUUUCUACGCUUGCACCCUUCUCUAACCAUUGAACCUGGUCACUUUUUGAAGAUUUAUGGAGAAAUAUUACCUUGUUCUCGUCUCAGGGAUACCACGAGGUUUUCCACAUUAUUGGAUUACUGAAGGAUUGUAGCAGACCCCUUUUUAUCUGACAUUCAUUGCAUGACAAGAUUUUCACACGUGCCCUUCCCCCACCACGCCCAGCUUUCUUCACUUGUUACCUAUCCAGUUUCCCUUGCUUCUUUGCUUGGGGUGGGAGCAUGAGGGAUGGAGGAGGGGGCUGCACUGCACGUAAAACUGAUUUUUGGCUAAGUGAUUUGGAGGAGGACUGUUUGAUUAAACAAUGGCCCUCCUUAUUUUCUAAAGGGCCUCUUAAAAAUGUCUCCCCUAAAAGGCAACUGCUGGUUUUCUUGCACAUCUAGGGGCUCAUUAGCCCUAUUCCCCUCUCCCUGUAUUUUUUUCCCUUUCUUCUGAGAUCCCAUAUUUUAUGACCCCAAGUUUCACAGCAGCUGGGGCUCCAGUGUGCGCCAUGAAAAAUUAGGUAGUUUAUUGGCUCCUCCAUUCUGAACUCACUUUUUCCUGCUGCACUCAGAGCUCCUUAACCAAGCUUCAAUGCCUCAAAACCCUACAUAACCAGAUACCCCCCUCCCCCCAGUAAAAAAAAAAAGCAACAACAAACCCCUCUUUGCUGCAUUAUCUGCACUCCAUUAAGGAUCUGAUCAGAUGUUCAGAUUGUCUGAUGGGUGCAUUUAAAAGUGAAAAGGGGCCCCCGAGGGACUACUCAGGUGUAUCUCCCUUUGGACCCCACGGAGGAGGAGGAUGAACUCUGGUCUGACGGUGGAGCCUUAGCCCCUGCUUGUUCUCUGAUUGAUUCCUGGGCCCUGGGUGGGUGAAGAGCUGUGAGGCAGCUCAAGCCCAGAUUGAUUGCCUCAAUUUCAAAUUCCCACUUUCAAAAUAGACUCUCAGACGUACACAGGAGGAGCCCCCUCCCACAACAGUUUCUGGAGGUGGAGCAGGUGUCUCAGUCACCUGUAGCUACCAAUCACAAGUGGUCCUCCUUAUCGCAGUGAUGCGGGCUUCCCGGGUCUUCAGCUGGGACACAUUAAAGCCCCCGGGAAGGUGCGGGUUUCGAUCUGCCUGUGUCCGUGUCCAUAUGUAUGGGUGGGGGUUGGAGUGGAGGAGUCUCCGGUGAGCAGGGAAAGGGGCAAGGAUUCCCACUGAGGAGGUUGGUCUGGAGGGCUGCAGGAGCUUGUGCGCCCACUAGGUUUGUUUUGCAAAUUGUGGC
rnacentral:lncRNA from 1 species